GAAGAUUCAGGUGAAAAUAUCCCAGCACAACUUCUCUUAAGACUACUUAAUUUUCUCUAGCAUGGAACGUGUUCUAAGAAUAGAAAAGUUUUGUGAUGCUUUGAAGACUCCCUCCCUAUGACCCUCCUGAGGGAUUUGUGUAACAGAGGUUUUUGUGAGAGGAGCCUGGUCCUGUCCUCCAGAUCCAGCAUGUCUGAUCUGACAAGAUGUUAUGGCCCACCCCUGAAGGCGAAGGUAGCUGAGAACUAUGGAGAAGAAUGACUGGAGUUGCCACAGGGCUGUAAAUCUCUUGGCAUAGCUGGUCUGGGACAUGCAGAGGCUGUGUGUGGUGCUUUCAAAAUCAAAACAGCAAAGAGAAAAAUCUGGAGCAGACAUCAUGAAGCAGCAGACCAGAGGGUCUUGUUUAAAAUAGGUAAACAAAAAUAAUU
rnacentral:lncRNA from 1 species